GCGUUGUCCGGAUUCAUUGGGCGUAAAGAGCUCGUAGGCGGUUUGAUAAGUCGGGUGUGAAAUCUCCAGGCUCAACCUGGAGAGGUCACUCGAGACUGUUAUGACUAGAGUCCGGUAGGGGACCACGGAAUUCCUGGUGUAGCGGUGAAAUGCGCAGAUAUCAGGAGGAACACCAGUGGCGAAGGCGGUGGUCUGGGCCGGAACUGACGCUGAGGAGCGAAAGCGU
rnacentral:rRNA from 1 species